ensembl:snoRNA Gm25378 predicted gene, 25378
AGAAAAAUUAGAGACAUUGCAGGUGUGACUUUUGUCUCACAUGUGUGUCAAUAGUUGGUCAAGAGGAGAGAGGCUGUGUUUACGCUUAGUGAUCUACAAACAUUUGAAUGGACAGCCUAACAUU